rnacentral:rRNA from 1 species
GACAGAGGUGCCAAGCGUUAGGCGGAAUCACUGGGCUUAAAGCGUGUGUAGGCGGAUGUCUAAGUACCUUGUGAAAUCCCACGGCUCAACCGUGGAACUGCUUGGUAUACUGGGCGUCUUGAGCCAUCUAGGGGCUACCGGAACAAAUGGUGGAGCGGUGAAAUGCGUAGAUAUCAAUUUGGAACGCCAAUGGUGAAAACAGGUAGCUGGGGAUGUGCUG